CUCUGCUAGCAGCUGUCCCACAGGAAACCGAGUGGGAAGCUCACACCCAACCCUUACAGCUCGGAAGCAGCCAUGUUUCCUGAACACAAGUGCCAAUAAGCCCUGUGGCAUUGGCAAACCAAGGCCAGCUCAUGCCAAGGCCUCCAUGCCUCACCUAAACACUGACAAACACAUCGCUGGAUGCAGUCUGGCUUCCCUGUGUUAGUAGUGUUAAAACAGGACUUAGAAUGAUAAAAGUGUGCUUAGUGUUUAGAUUGUAGUGAAUGUUUGUAAAUUGCCACAUGCGUUAAUCUCAUUUAUAGCAUCUUUAUCCGAUGUCAUCAGUUGGUGUUACCGCCUGCCCAGCAGAGAAGGCCCAUCAACACCAGACAAACUAUUGUAGAACAUCAGAGGACAAAACUCUUUGUUGACUGCUCUCCCCCGGCCUAUGAAGACAAGACUCGCAAGUGAAUUCCUCCCAUCAACUGAACUGGCAGCUCAGACAAGGGGAAAGGGAAUAAAAAUCCCUAACAAGGAGAAACGGAUUGGCUACAAGUGUUGUCUUUGGUGUGAGAUCUAGGAUGCAAUUGACCUGGGGUAUCUGAUCCAGUCACGGCCUUCCACAGAUGAUUUCAUUCUAUCCAUGAGCUUAGGGGGUCGGUUACAUGGUAUCCAAAGUGGAGGCUGGUGGUUGCAGAAGACAUGUCUGGAGAGGGCUCAACUGGGUUGUGGGCUCCGAUCACUCCUGAGGCACGAAGAUGAAGUUCACAAGGGUACUCAGGGCGCGGGAGAUUUUUUUUCCUUCAGCCUUUAGUCAUGCUGUCAUUC